GCUAAUCUGAAUGGUUUAAAAUUGGGAAUUGAUUGGAAUUUCUUUAAGGCAUGUGAUUCUGAAAUCUUAGCUGUCUGCCAAAAAGAAUUUGGAGACUCGUUUGAACCUUGCAAUUGCUUCUCAAAUUACAGCCCUGGACUAUAUUAAG
rnacentral:lncRNA from 1 species